UCCUACGGGAGGCAGCAGUUGGGAAUCUUGGACAAUGGGGGAAACCCGUGAUCCAGCCAUGCCGCGUGAGUGAUGAAGGCCUUCGGGUUGUAAAGCUCUUUUACCCGGGAAGAUAAUGACUGUACCGGGAGAAUAAGCACCGGCUAACUUCGUGCCAGCAGCCGCGGUA
rnacentral:rRNA from 1 species